GAUGAACGCUGGCGGCGUGCUUAACACAUGCAAGUCGAACGGGAUCCAAGGGGUGCUUGCACUUUUUGGUGAGAGUGGCGCACGGGUGAGUAACACGUGAGUAACCUGUCCUUUUCUUUGGGAUAAGCAUUCGAACGGGUGUUUAAUACCUUAUGUUCUGUCUGCCUCGCAUGGGGUGGGUGGGCAAGGCUUUGGCCGGAUUUGGGUGGGCUCGCGGUCUGUCAGCUUGUUGGUGGGGUGAUGGCUUCCAAGGCUUUGACGGGUAGCCGGCCUGAGAGGGUGGUCGUCAACAGUGGGGCGGAGAUACGGCCAGGACUCCGGCGGGAGGCAGGAGUGGGGGAUGUUGGACAAUGGGCGAAAGCCUGAUGCAGCGACGCCGCGUGGGGGAUGAAGGCCUUCGGGUUGUAAGCUUCUUUGGCGGUGAACAAGGCAUGACAGUGGGUGUGUUGGGUGGAGGGGUUGAUUAGCGCGGGCUAACUACGUG
rnacentral:rRNA from 1 species